rnacentral:misc_RNA from 1 species
AACCGUUGACUGAACCGACCCACUCCCUCGCUCUCUCACACACAAACACAUCUUCGCGCGCCUGGCUUCACGUGUGCGCACCGACGUCUGCCCGCGCUGUUCCUUUUGUUUUUUUUUUGACCCCACCCCAACACACACUCACCCAUACGCAUACACACAACUCUUCAUUUCACCUCCUGACACACCCUCCCUUCCCCUUGCUCUAGCCCGCAAUGCGCGCCUUCUCUCGCUUCGGGAUGGCUGCGAUGCCGUUGCUUGCGUGCGCUGCGCAACUGGCCGCUGUGCGCACGUUGUACAGUGAAAAGGUGCAGGACCACUACAAGAACCCGCGCAACGUGGGUAAGCUGGACAAGAACGACCCUAACGUGGGUACCGGGCUGCGCGGCGCACCGGAGUGUGGCGACAUGACGCAAAUGCAGGUGAAGGUAAACCCGGAUACACUUGUGAUCGAGGACGUCAAGUUCAAGGCGUUCGGCUGCGGGAGCGCAAUAGCUGCGUCGUCGUACGCGUCGCAGGCGAUCCGCGGCAAGACUGUCGCGGACGCGCUGAAGCUGACGAACAAGGAGAUUGCGCAUGAGCUGUCUCUGCCGCCGGUAAAGCUGCACUGCUCCAUGUUGGCGGAGGAGACGAUCCACGCUGCGGUGGAGAACUACCUGUCGAAGAACCCGACGCUGAAGAGCAAGGUGUCGAAGCGGAAGGAGGAGGAGGUCAAACAGGAGUGAGCGAAACUGCGUGGGUGCUGCUUAGACUGCCGCGUUCGUGCGCUCGCACGCUAACUGCGCAUCGGCUUCGAGAACAGCUGCUGUUGCUUGUGUCUUUGCGUGCAAACGCCAACUCACCUUAUAAGAUGGAGCUAGUGAGCAGAUGGUGGCCAAAGGGUGUUUGUGGCGCGGGCUUCAUCUGUACCUGUCAUGCACUCCUUCCCUCUCCCCUCCGCCCCUCCCUUGCUUGCGCCUUCCCCCUCCUCGUGUAAUUCUCUGCUGCUGCUGCUGUGGCGUGCGUGCCUAUGUAUGGUAGCCGCGGGCCCCACCCUGGACGGCCAGUGCCACUGACACACACACACACACGCGCGCGCACACACAACUUUUUUGUCCCUCCCCUCUCUUCCUCACUUGCACCUUACGCGGUUGUCCAGGCGCUGCCCCUCUCGGCUGUGCGGCGCGUGCUGUGCCACCGCGUGUGGACGCGGGAAGCCAAACGAAGCGCGCGUUCACCGUCUCCCCUUUAUCAUCCUCUUGUGCACUGCUGCACUGAAAAACACACAGACGCACACGCACGGUGCAAGGUUGCCGUAGGCAGACGUGAGAGCCCCUCCCUCUUCCUCCCCUCCUGCUCUGGGCACCUUUGCCGCGCGCUUCUCUCUCUUUGUUGGCCCUCUCUUCUGUCGCUGUGGAUCUCACUUUUUUAUUUUUGAGUUUUGGUUUCAGCGCAGCCGUUUUUAUGUGCGCUCCUCCUUCCUGCGGCUUCGAUUGCCUGUCUUUCCUUGUUAUGUGUGAUAGCUGCUAUCGAGUUUUUCUUUGUGCGCACGGUUUCGCGCUCUGCGGCCCGCGCCGUGUUACAUGCUUGGGAAGCUCUCCAUUGCGGAUGCGCAGAGUGGGACCGACCCAACGGACAGGGAUGCACUGAGGUCAGCCGGCCGCGCUGAAGAGCGUCGCGCCCUUGACGGACAAAGACUUCCGCGUAGUGACGCUCCACCGCUGUACCUCUCAUUCUUAAGCUCUGCAGCUUCUAACACUGGGCGAGAGCGAUUGUGUGUGUGAAGCCCCCCCUUCCAGCUUCACUGGGCUUUUGUCUUGACGUGAGUCGUCUUCUCCAGAAAAGACGUUCUUGUCGGUGUUAGGGUGUGGGGGAAUAGGAGAGGACGCCGCUGUGUAUGUGUGUGUCUUAUAGCGCGUGCAGAAACAGCUUGUGCGCUCUGUGACGUGGUGCGGUGCUGAAUUCGGUGAUUUUUGUAUGUCUGUGUCUUUGCCGGUUUCGUCAAUGAGAGGACUUUUCCCACCCUCUUCUUCCCCUCCUCAUGUCUUGUGGCGUCUUUGCUUCCUCUUGGAGGACGAGCUCUCGUUUGCACAACCGGCUCAUCGCUUAAUGAGCCUCGAGUUGCGGUAGGAGGUACUCCCUCUCUUCUUUCCAUUGUUCUACAUGUGUUGCUCAUGCUUUCAAACUCGCGUCAUCGCCUUCUCUCGCGCUCCGUCGCCUUGUAAACCCAGUGAUGGUUCUGUCCUGAUGACUUCUUUUCUGUGACUCUCUCCUUGAUAUUCCGCCUUUUCUGGUUACCACCCGUGCUCGCCGGCGCGCAAG